GACGAACGCUGGCGGCGUGCUUAACACAUGCAAGUCGAACGGAAAGGCCCUGCUUGCAGGGUGCUCGAGUGGCGAACGGGUGAGUAACACGUGGGUGAUCUGCCCCUUACUUUGGGAUAAGCCUGGGAAACUGGGUCUAAUACUGGAUAGGACCAUGCUAGGUGGUGUGGUGGAAAGAUUAGUUUCGGUAAGGGAUGAGCUCGCGGCCUAUCAGCUUGUUGGUGGGGUAAUGGCCUACCAAGGCGUCGACGGGUAGCCGGCCUGAGAGGGUGGACGGCCACAUUGGGACUGAGAUACGGCCCAGACUCCUACGGGAGGCAGCAGUGGGGAAUAUUGCACAAUGGGCGCAAGCCUGAUGCAGCGACGCCGCGUGGGGGAUGACGGCCUUCGGGUUGUAAACUCCUUUCAGCCAUGACGAAGCCCUUGUGGUGACGGUAGUGGUAGAAGAAGCACCGGCUAACUACGUG
rnacentral:rRNA from 1 species